AUUGAACGCUGGCGGCAGGCCUAACACAUGCAAGUCGAGCGGAUGAAGGGAGCUUGCUCCUGGAUUCAGCGGCGGACGGGUGAGUAAUGCCUAGGAAUCUGCCUGGUAGUGGGGGAUAACGUCCGGAAACGGGCGCUAAUACCGCAUACGUCCUGAGGGAGAAAGUGGGGGAUCUUCGGACUUCACGCUAUCAGAUGAGCCUAGGUCGGAUUAGCUAGUUGGUGGGGUAAGGGCCUACCAAGGCGACGAUCCGUAACUGGUCUGAGAGGAUGAUCAGUCACACUGGAACUGAGACACGGUCCAGACUCCUACGGGAGGCAGCAGUGGGGAAUAUUGGACAAUGGGCGAAAGCCUGAUCCAGCCAUGCCGCGUGUGUGAAGAAGGUCUUCGGAUUGUAAAGCACUUUAAGUUGGGAGGAAGGGCAGUAAGUUAAUACCUUGCUGUUUUGACGUUACCAACAGAAUAAGCACCGGCUAACUUCGUG
rnacentral:rRNA from 1 species